rnacentral:rRNA from 1 species
GACGAACGCUGGCGGCGUGCUUAACACAUGCAAGUCGAACGGAAAGGCCCUGCUUUUGUGGGGUGCUCGAGUGGCGAACGGGUGAGUAACACGUGAGUAACCUGCCCUUGACUUUGGGAUAACUUCAGGAAACUGGGGCUAAUACCGGAUAGGAGCUCCUGCUGCAUGGUGGGGGUUGGAAAGUUUCAGCGGUUGGGGAUGGACUCGCGGCUUAUCAGCUUGUUGGUGGGGUAGUGGCUUACCAAGGCUUUGACGGGUAGCCGGCCUGAGAGGGUGACCGGCCACGUGGGACUGGAAAUGGGACACAGCCCCGAAGGGGAGGCGAGGGGGGGGAAAGUGACAUAGGGGGGGGAGCCAAAGGGCGACGGCGCCGGGUGGGGGGGAGGGCGUGGGGGUUUGAAACCCACUCUGCCUUGAGAAGAGGGGUGUGUGAGGGUAAGGGAUAAAGAAGCGCCGGCUAACUACGGG